rnacentral:tRNA from 1 species
UCCCUCGAACAGGAUUUGAACCAGAGACCUAAGGAUCACCGUUGUAACAUCUACAGUCCUCCGCUCUGCCAACUGAGCUAUCGAGGG